GGAUUGCCUCAGUAACGGCGAGUGAAGCGGCAGCAGCUCAAAUUUGAAAUCCGGCCCCCUCGGGGCCCGAGUUGUAAUUUGGAGAGGGUGCUUCGGGGCGCGCCGCCGGUCCGAGUGCCUUGGAACAGGCCGCCGUGGAGGGUGAGAGCCCCGUACGCGGCCGGCGGACCGUCCCCGCGCGAAGCCCUUUCGACGAGUCGAGUUGUUUGGGAAUGCAGCUCCAAGCGGGUGGUAAAUUCCAUCUAAAGCUAAAUACAGGCCGGAGACCGAUAGCGCACAAGUAGAGUGAUCGAAAGAUGAAAAGCACCUUGAAAAGGGGGUCAAACAGCACGUGAAAUUGCUGAGAGGGAAGCGCUGGCCCCCAGACCUGCUUCGCGGGCGAUCCCCGGCGGCCUCCGCGCCGCGGGGGCUCCACGCCCGCGUUCAGGCCAGCACGGGUCCGGGCGGCGGGACAAAGCGCCCGGGAAUGUAACUCCCUUUGGGGAGCCUUAUAGCCCGGGUGGUCAUGCCGCCCGCCCGGACCGAGGACCGCGCUGCGGCGAGGGUGCUGGCGUAAUGGGGGUCAGCGACCCGUCUUGAAACA
rnacentral:rRNA from 1 species